UCGCCGCGGGUCGUGGGCCGCGACGCCGAUGCUCACCGUGAGUCUGCCGUGCGCGCUGCCGGCGUUCGGCUCGCCGGCGGCGAGC
rnacentral:tRNA from 1 species